UGCACAUUUACAAUUGGGCUCUUUGCACAGCAGCCACUUUUGCCAGGCCAGGGAGGAAAAUCGCAGGGGUAAAUAAUCAAGUUAAUGAGGGCGGAGUUCCAUGAAGCUUCCUCAGUGUCAGAGUGACUGCAGUUUCACUGCCCCACAGGUGUUGCUAAUUAAAUCAUGUGAAGCCACUUAGCCAUAAAUAAUAUUAUCUACACCGUUAUUAGUGUGGCUGUAACAUGUCAAAAAUAUCUUUCAUGAGAAACUACAUAUCUGGAUAACCCUUUACCAGACCAAAGAGGAUUUAACCUGUUGACAAGUGAGUGGUCCUCUGGAGGUUGGCAAAUGGUGACCCUGUUUACUGAGCUCUGACACCCACCAAAGGAUUUCCACCCGGGCUUCCAUUCUUUCCUCCGUGGUGCUAUACUCUGCACGACAAGACCAGAGGGCCUCUGCAUUAACACUUGCAUCAGGGCAGGCAUGUAAAAAGGAAGUUUUGGAGCAACCGCUCAAUGGACCGUCUGGAACUCGAUCCCAAGUUUCCCCCGUGGACAUCCGACAACAUAAUUGUGAUGCUGAUGUGCGUGGCCAAUUGGAUCAAGUUGGAUGCCUUGAUUUUGACUGGAGGGGGAGAGCUGCAGCUACUAAUGCCAUACUGCGAGAGCCGACUGUAGGAGGCGAAAAGUGGAGACGAUUUACCCGGAGGGAGUGGAAAUCGUCGGCCAGCUCAGCUCAGCGCAGCAUGGAGUGGGAAAAUGAUGACGAUAACUUCCUGCCUGUGUGAGGAACAUCGGCCGAACAGGCUACAGUCGCAACUGGCCUGUGCAGCGCG